rnacentral:lncRNA from 1 species
UGAAAUAUUCCUUUUAUGAGGUAAAAAUCUGGUUUUGUUUCAAAAUUAACUUCUUUCUCUGCUCUCUUUGGUUUUUCUAGAAAGUGACUGAGAUAUACCAAUUCAAAUUCAAAUACACAAAAAAGGGAACCAGUAUGGACUUUGACAGCAGCAGCACGAGCUUUGAAAGUGGGGCACACAGUAAAGAUGUUAAGAAAGCCUGCUCCCUACUCAUCCGCCAGUUGUAUGUCCUGAUGCAGAACCUUGGACCCCUUCCUAAUGAUGUCAUACUCACUAUGAAACUCCACUAUUAUAACUCAGGUUCAAAGAAUGAAUUUUGUGCACAUUGAGCCAAGUUUUGAAAGCACCAGGAAGAAGAGGAAGGUCAGCGAACCAGUGACAAUCUUCAUUCCAAACAGAAAAUGAAACAGGUGCCUUUGCUACGCCUGUUUGCAAAAACAUGAAAUGUCGUAACAGGAGUCACCAAAACUUUUUCCUAAAGCUUUUGCUCAAUUUUUGACUCAGUUUGUGAAGGGGCUAAGCUAUUGAGCAGGUCCUGGGUUCGCUUCUCCAGAAGGAAACAAGAUCACCAGAGCUGCCUUGGCCUGGCAUUAUCUCACGGCCGAGUUAGAGAUGAGACAUGCUUUGUGCUUGCACGAAAACCCAGCAGUUAUUUUGGGAAGAAAUAGCUGCUGUUCUUAAAGAAAAGGCUUUUCUUUACAUAAUUCAGUUCUCCAGGUAUCUCGACUGCUGUGAACUACUCUGACUUGUUAUAACCUGUGUGUGGGAAUCCUUCUGUAGCUUUAGUAAAGCUCACACACACAGAGCCGCAUAGGACGUCUGAAGGUGCUUAGCCCAGUGUGAGUUAUAUGUUGACUUCAGUCUCAAGGUUGAUGAGGAGCGUGCAGGUCCUGAUGCCCUCCCUGUAAACCUCCUCAGCUCUGCCUCAGGCCCUUUUGUUGGCCAAUCCCAAAAGCUGACAUGCAGUUCAGGGGCCUGGUUCCCUUGUAAGACCUAUGUUGAGUGUUUUCCCCAAAAUACCUGCCUUUAUCAGUCUGUAACUUGCAGGUGAUGCUAUUUGUCCUCUCCAUAUUCUGGAAGAAUUUUGAUAGGCUUAAUGAUUAAUGUAAAAUGAAUAAUAAAUGACUUAAAGAAUU